AGUAACUGAAGAGCUUGCAGUACCUUCAACAUUCCUUCAGGAUUCAACUAGAAUCUCUGGGUCUGUGUGAAGACCAAGAGCUGGGAACAGAAGCAGGGCUCUAGAGGGAAAAGUUUCUUUCGGAUUCCUUUUUUUUGUUUUGUUUUAAAGAGCUGCUCUGUGAGAAGACAAGGAGAAAAUGGUCCCUACAGGAUACUCACCUCUGUCUCAGGGAGACACUCAAGCAUUUAUUCAACCAAGAAAGAGAAUUAGUUCCAGUACAGACAGCCAGCAUGCAGUGAGCACUCAGCGAUGGCCAAGUAUGGGAGAAGCCAUGCUGGAAUGAACAUGUGGGACCAUUUUGUGCAGUUUCUCAGGGAAAUUCUUAUCUUUGAAACAGCAUGGGAAUCGAGGCACCCAGGAGGGGAGCAGAGGCAGGCAGGCCUCCUUCAGGCCCAUCCUCCAGCUGGGCUGGUGGUGCCAGGGAGGCUCCCUGCUUGGUAACAAAGGCCUGAGGGAGAGUUGCGAAACCCAGCAGGAAAGCCGGCUCACCUUCGCCUCCCCCUGCGGCUGGGAGGAGAGGAAAUAUCCCAUGGCUGACUGUGCCAA
rnacentral:lncRNA from 1 species